rnacentral:rRNA from 1 species
UACGAAGGGGGCUAGCGUUGCUCGGAAUCACUGGGCGUAAAGCGCACGUAGGCGGAUUGCUAAGUCAGGGGUGAAAUCCUGGAGCUCAACUCCAGAACUGCCCUUGAUACUGGCGGUCUCGAGUCCGGGAGAGGUGAGUGGAACUGCGAGUGUAGAGGUGAAAUUCGUAGAUAUUAGGAAGAACACCAGUGGCGAAGGCGGCUCACUGGCUCGGUACUGACGCUGAGGCGCGAAAGCGUGGGGAGCAAACAGG